rnacentral:lncRNA from 1 species
AUCCGCCCCGGUGGCCUAAUGGAUAAGGCAUUGGCCUCCUAAGCCAGGGAUUGUGGGUUCGAGUCCCACCCGGGGUAAAGAAAGGCCGAAUUUUAGUGUUCCUUAUCGGGCAGAAGAGUUAGAAUGCGGUAUACUCCAGUGGAGGUGCGGAGUUUCCGAAGGGUUACCAAAAAGGCUCUAAAUCAGAAACCUCUACCUGUUUUCAAGGAAGACGAGCACAAUUUCACGUUACAGAAAAAAGGAGCCGAAUCUUUUACAGGAUGUUAAGUACCAUCCAUUUAACUUGAUAGAAAGGAAUGAUU